AACGAACGCUGGCGGCAUGCCUAACACAUGCAAGUCGAACGAAGGCUUCGGCCUUAGUGGCGCACGGGUGCGUAACGCGUGGGAAUCUGCCCUUUGGUUCGGAAUAACAGCUGGAAACGGCUGCUAAUACCGGAUGAUGACGAAAGUCCAAAGAUUUAUCGCCAGAGGAUGAGCCCGCGUUGGAUUAGGUAGUUGGUGGGGUAAAGGCCUACCAAGCCGACGAUCCAUAGCUGGUCUGAGAGGAUGAUCAGCCACACUGGGACUGAGACACGGCCCAGACUCCUACGGGAGGCAGCAGUGGGGAAUAUUGGACAAUGGGCUCAAGCCUGAUCCAGCAAUGCCGCGUGAGUGAUGAAGGCCCUAGGGUUGUAAAGCUCUGUUACCCGGGAAGAUAAUGACUGUACCGGGAGAAUAAGCCCCGGCUAACUCCGUG
rnacentral:rRNA from 1 species